UUCUGGUGCUCAGAAUAUACAAACCUGGAUAACUAGUAGUCCUUAGAGAAUUGUGAGUGGUAUAUAUUCCGAAGGCAUCAGAUCCCUGAAAUGAAAGGGUUCUGUCAGAAUCAAAUGAGAUACUGAACAUGAUUUUCACAAUUCUGAAGUGCUAGAUAAAGGUCUCACCUCCAGGGGCACACCCCUUACUCAUGGC